UUUCGCCGGAUCUUUUCAGCGGGUCGC
rnacentral:sRNA from 1 species